rnacentral:rRNA from 1 species
AGAGUUUGAUUCUGGCUCAGGAUGAACGCUGGCGGCGUGCCUAACACAUGCAAGUCGACGGGGUUAAGUGAAAUUUUCGGAUGGAUCUUAACUUAGUGGCGGACGGGUGAGUAACGCGUCGGAUAACCUGGCCUCACACAGGGGGGAUAGCAGCUGGAAACGGCUGGUAAUACCGCAUAAGACCACGGCCUCGCAUGGGGCUGUAGUAAAAGAUUUUAUCGGUGUGAGAUGGAUCCGCGUCUGAUUAGCCAGUUGGCGGGGUAACGGCCCACCAAAGCGACGAUCAGUAGCCGGCCUGAGAGGGUGAACGGCCACAUUGGGACUGAGACACGGCCCAAACUCCUACGGGAGGCAGCAGUGGGGAAUAUUGCACAAUGGGCGCAAGCCUGAUGCAGCAACGCCGCGUUGAGUGGAAGAAGUAUUUCGGUAUGUAAAGCUCUAUCAGCAGGGAAGAAAGGCUCUUCGGAGAGAUGACGGUACCUGACUAAGAAGCCCCGGCUAACUACGUGCCAGCCGCUGC